GACGAACCGUGCGAACGUUGUUCGGAAUCACUGGGCUUAAAGGGCGCGUAGGCGGACUCUUAAGUCGGUGGUGAAAUCCUGGAGCUCAACUCCAGAACUGCCUUCGAUACUGAGAGUCUCGAGUCCGGGAGAGGUGAGUGGAACUGCGAGUGUAGAGGUGAAAUUCGUAGAUAUUCGCAAGAACACCAGUGGCGAAGGCGGCUCACUGGCCCGGUACUGACGCUGAGGUGCGAAAGCGUGGGGAGCAAACAGG
rnacentral:rRNA from 1 species